rnacentral:tRNA from 1 species
GGGGAGGUAGCUCCGUGGUAGAGUAUGUGCUUAGCAUGUGCAAGGGCCUGGGUUCAAUCCUCAGCACCACCA